CCUACGGGGGGCUGCAGUGGGGAAUAUUGGGCAAUGGAGGCAACUCUGACCCAGCAACGCCGCGUGAAUGAUGAAGGUCUUCGGAUUGUAAAGUUCUGUGAUGGGGGAUGAACACAAUGACGGUACCCCAAUAGCAAGCCACGGCUAACUACGUGCCAGCAGCCGCGGUAAUACGUAGGUGGCAAGCGUUAUCCGGAAUGACUGGGCGUAAAGGGUGCGUAGGUGGUUUAGUAAGUUGGCGGUGUAAUUCCGGGGCUCAACCUCGACGCUACCGCCAAAACUAUUAGACUAGAGUGCAGGGGGGGUAAGUGGAAUUCCUGGUGUAGCGGUGGAAUGCUUAGAUAUUAGGAGGAACAUCAGGGGCGAAGGCGACUUACUGGACUGUAACUGACACUGAGGCACGAAAGCGUGGGGAGCAAACAGGAUUAGAUACCCGAGUAGUC
rnacentral:rRNA from 1 species